AAUAACAUUUCCAGGUUUUCUUUUUGGUAGAUAGUCCCAUCAUUUGAAAGCUAAUUUUGGGAGGGCUGGAUUGGACAUGGUACAUAUGUUUCAGUUAAGCCUAUUUUGUACUUUUCACUUAACUUGAAUAGGUUUUUAUUUCCUUUCUACUAUAGUUUUGCCUUACUAAUAUAAGAGGCUGUCUUUUUUUUUUGAACUGCAUCUCUAAUAGGGAAAAGAAACUUGCACACAAAAACACUGACACCUUCUGAGAAAGGAUCUGUGGUCGUUUCUCCGAUUUGGGAACCUUCAGUAUGUGGCUUUUCUACUCCUUUGUCAGGUUUUACGAUUAUGUAUGAUUACUGCAGGUAGCGCUGGUAUAUGGUCAAAUGAAUGAACCACCUGGUGCUCGUGCCCGGGUAGCUCUGACUGGACUGACUGUGGCUGAAUACUUCAGAGACCAAGAAGGUCAAGAUGUUCUGCUAUUUAUUGAUAACAUCUUUCGCUUCACCCAGGCUGGUUCAGAGGUGUCUGCAUUAUUGGGCCGAAUCCCUUCUGCUGUGGGCUAUCAGCCUACCCUGGCCACUGACAUGGGUACUAUGCAGGAAAGAAUUACCACUACCAAGAAGGGAUCUAUCACCUCUGUACAGGCUAUCUAUGUGCCUGCUGAUGACUUGACUGACCCUGCCCCUGCUACUACGUUUGCCCAUUUGGAUGCUACCACUGUACUGUCGCGUGCCAUUGCUGAGCUGGGCAUCUAUCCAGCUGUGGAUCCUCUAGACUCCACCUCUCGUAUCAUGGAUCCCAACAUUGUUGGCAGUGAGCAUUACGAUGUUGCCCGUGGGGUGCAAAAGAUCCUGCAGGUGAGUAUAUUACUAUGUGGG
rnacentral:sRNA from 1 species